GUGCUUGUGACAGUACAUAUAAUAAAUUGGAUACGAUACAGAAGAUUAAGCAUGGCCCCUGCGAAAGGAUGACACGCCAAAUUCAUUGAAGCGUUUCCAUAUUUU